ensembl:lncRNA
CUUUCCACCAUGAUGUUCCUGCCUUGGAGCCAGCUGACCAUGGACUGAAUCCCCAAAAGCUGUGAACCAAAUUAAACUUCUCCUCCUCUGAGGCUGCCUGUGUUGAGAAGUGACAGCCACGGGAGCUGGAGGGGACACUGGUGACUGCCGAGUGGGGGAAGAGCGCGGUUUGUACACUGUCAGAAAGGAUGAGGCCGGUGGCAAAGCAGCUCUUGGAGCCCAGGAAGACAGAGAAGAGCUGGGCAUGGUGGCACACACCUAUGAUCCCAGCACUCUGGAGGCUGAGGCAGGAGGAUCACUGCAAGUUGGAGGCCAGGCUGGGCUCCAGAGAUGGUGCCGAGGAAACCUGAAAACCAUCCCAGGAAGGGGGAGCCGGAGGAGGUCCCGAGGGAAGGCCUCGCUGGGUGCCGGUAACAGGGACUAUCACAGGCCACCCACAGACAAAGUCCUUCCACAGGUCACAGGAGCCACAACUGCCCAGCCCAACCCUGGGGAUCCAUCCUGUGGCCAAGGAGUACUGGUUCAAAACCACCUGUGUAACCCUGUUUCUUUUGUCUCUCUUUGCCUCCUGAGUGUACUGUAACCUGGCACAGCACACACAGCCCCACUGCUACGAAACCCCCAGUACACUCAAGACGUUCGAAGGCUGUUAUUUAGGUUGUGGCACAAGCAGGUGUUGGACCACAGUCAUCGGGCCUUUUGCUUUCUAAGAAACUCCCAAACCGACGUCCAGAGUGCCUGUGCCUUUCACCUCCCACCAGCAAAGCCCAUCCUUUUGAGUACCUGGGAGUCACCUCUGUGCUUCAGCCAGUGCUGCACGUGUAGCAAUGCCACAGUGUGCCUGCCGCGACAGGGUCCGUGACAGCUGGACGGGGACAUCCUCUCUGGAUACAGGUCACCCCUGUCCACUUUCUAAUCAGAUUGCUUGGGCGGUUUUCCUUGUUUUUACUGUUAUGCUCUUUGUAUGAUCUGUAGUCCUCUGUUGAAUGGAGGCUUUGCAAAUACUUCCCAGUCUGGAGAUUGUCUUUUCAUCGUCUGGUUACCUGAGGGUGUGUGUGUGUGUGUGUGUGUGUGUGUGUGUGUGUGUAUUCAGUGCUGGGGAUGGAACUCAGGUACUCAUGCAUGCUAAGCUUGUGCUCCUACACCCCAGCCCUCUCUAUAUCCUCUAACCAGCAUUUUCACAGAGAAAAC